UGAGGAAUAUUGGUCAAUGGGCGAGAGCCUGAACCAGCCAAGUCGCGUGAAGGAAGACUGCCUUAUGGGUUGUAAAACUUCUUUUAUACAGGAAUAAAAAGGCUUACGUGUAGGCCAUUGCAAGUACUGUAUGAAUAAGCAUCGGCUAACUCCGUGCCAGCAGCCGCGGUAAUACGGAGGAUGCGAGCGUUAUCCGGAUUUAUUGGGUUUAAAGGGUGCGCAGGCGGGCUUUUAAGUCAGCGGUGAAAUCUGGACGCUUAACGUCCAAACUGCCGUUGAAACUGGGAGUCUUGAGUAUGGAUGAAGUAGGCGGAAUUCGUUGUGUAGCGGUGACAUGCAUAGAUAUAACGAGGAACUCCGAUUGCGUAGGCAGCUUACUAAGCCAUAACUGACGCUCAUGCACGAAAGCGUGGGGAUCAAACAGGAUUAGAUACCCUGGUAGUCCACGCCGUAAAACGAUGAUUACUAGUUGUAUGCGAUAUGAUAGUAUGUGACUAAGCGAAAGCGAUAAGUAAUCCACCUGGGGGAGUACGCCGGC
rnacentral:rRNA from 1 species